UGUAGUCAUAUGCUUGUCUCAAAGAUUAAGCCAUGCAUGUCUAAGUAUAAGCAACUUUGUACUGUGAAACUGCGAAUGGCUCAUUAAAUCAGUUAUAGUUUAUUUGAUGGUUUUUGCUACAUGGAUAACUGUGGUAAUUCUAGAGCUAAUACAUGCAUUCAAGCCCCGACUUCUGGAAGGGGUGUAUUUAUUAGAUAAAAAUCAACUUUGUUGGUGAAUCAUGAUAACUUCUCGGACCGCAUGGCCUCGUGCUGGCGGUGCUUCAUUCAAAUAUCUGCCCUAUCAACUGUCGAUGGUAGGAUAGAGGCCUACCAUGGUUGCAACGGGUAACGGGGAAUG
rnacentral:rRNA from 1 species